rnacentral:siRNA from 1 species
GCAGGUUUGCCCGAGUGGUUAAGGG